AAUCAACGCUGGCGGCGUGCCUCAGACAUGCAAGUCGAACGAUUAAAGCUCUCUUCGGAGAGUGCAUAGAGUGGCGCAUGGGUGAGUAACACGUAAGUAAUCUACCUUCGAGUGGGGAAUAACGUCCGGAAACGGGCGCUAAUACCGCAUAAUGCAGCGGCAUCGCAAGAUGACAGUUGUUAAAGGAGCAAUCCGCUUGAAGAGGAGCUUGCGGCAGAUUAGCUAGUUGGUAGGGUAAUGGCCUACCAAGGCUACGAUCUGUAACCGGUCUUAGAGGACGGUCGGUCACACUGACACUGAAUAACGGGUCAGACUCCUACGGGAGGCAGCAGUCGGGAAUUUUGGGCAAUGGGGGAAACCCUGACCCAGCAACGCCGCGUGAAGGAUGAAGUAUUUCGGUAUGUAAACUUCGAAAGAAUAGGAAGAAUUAAUGACGGUACUAUUUAUAAGGUCCGGCUAACUACGUG
rnacentral:rRNA from 1 species